rnacentral:tRNA from 1 species
UCUUUGGUGGUCCAGUGGUUAAGACUCCGAGCUUCCAAUACAGAGGGCACAGGUUCCAUCCCUGGUCAGAGAA